AUUGAACGCUGGCGGCAGGCCUAACACAUGCAAGUCGAACGAGUGGCGGACGGGUGAGUAAUGUCUGGGAAAAUGCCCGAUGGAGGGGGAGAACUACUGGAAACGGUAUCUAAUACCGCAUACCAUCGGAUGUGCCCAGAUGGGAUGAGCUAGUAGGUGGGGGAACGGCUCACCUAGGCGACGAUCCCUAGCUGGUCUGAGAGGGUGACCAGCAACACUGGAACUGAGACACGGUCCAGCCGCCUACGGGAGGCAGCAGUGGGGAAUAUUGCACAAUGGGCGCAAGCCUGAUGCAGCCAUGCCGCGUGUAUGAAGAAGUCCUUCGGGUUGUAAAGUACUUUCAGCGAGGAGGCGUUGCUCGCAGAAGAAGCACCGGCUAACUCCGUGCCAGCAGCCGCGGUAAUAC
rnacentral:rRNA from 1 species